rnacentral:rRNA from 1 species
AAAUUGAAGAGUUUGAUCAUGGCUCAGAUUGAACGCUGGCGGCAGGCCUAACACAUGCAAGUCGAACGGUAACAGGAAUCAGCUUGCUGAUUCGCUGACGAGUGGCGGACGGGUGAGUAAUGUCUGGGAAACUGCCUGAUGGAGGGGGAUAACUACUGGAAACGGUAGCUAAUACCGCAUAACGUCGCAAGACCAAAGAGGGGGACCUUCGGGCCUCUUGCCAUCGGAUGUGCCCAGAUGGGAUUAGCUAGUAGGUGGGGUAACGGCUCACCUAGGCGACGAUCCCUAGCUGGUCUGAGAGGAUG